GAUGAAACUCAAAGGACUUUGACCGGGGACCCGCACAAGCGGUGGAGCAUGUGGUUUAAUUUCGAAGCAACGCGAAGAACCUUACCUGGUCUUGACAUCCCUCUGACCGCUCUUUAAUCGGAGUUUUCCUUCGGGACAGAGGAGACAGGUGGUGCAUGGUUGUCGUCAGCUCGUGUCGUGAGAUGUUGGGUUAAGUCCCGCAACGAGCGCAACCCCCAUCUUCAGUAGCCAGCAUUUAAGGUGGGCACUCUGGAGAGACUGCCAGGGAUAACCUGGAGGAAGGUGGGGAUGACGUCAAAUCAUCAUGCCCCUUAUGACCAGGGCUACACACGUGCUACAAUGGCGUAAACAAAGGGGAGCGAACCUGUGAGGGGAAGCAAAUCUCAAAAAUAACGUCUCAGUUCGGAUUGUAGUCUGCAACUCGACUACAUGAAGCUGGAAUCGCUAGUAAUCGCGAAUCAGCAUGUCGCGGUGAAUACGUUCCCGGGUCUUGUACACACCGCCCGUCACACCAUGGGAGUCAGUAACGCCCGAAGUCAGUGACCCAACCGUAAGGAGGGAGCUGCCGAAGGUGGGACCGAUACUGGGGUGAAGU
rnacentral:rRNA from 1 species